UAAUUCACGACGUAAGUGCGGUCGAAAUUCAAAGUGGAAAGUGCGGAGGUCUUUCUAACGUAACGUCAUCUUCAUACAAGGAAGUGUUGAAAUGUACUUUUCUGUUCACUUUUUCAUCGAAUCGUUCACUUAAAAUUCAAAUUUUAGGCACACUUACGGCGUGAAUUACGUCAUAAAAAGCUUUCUAAAAUCACAAGAAAAUUCUU